AGUGAACGCUGGCGGUAGGCUUAACACAUGCAAGUCGAACGGCAGCACAGUAAGAGUUUGCUCUUACGGGUGGCGAGUGGCGUACGGGUGAGGAAUACAUCGGAACCUAGUUUUUCGUGGGGGAUAACGUAGGUAAACUUACGAUAAUACCGCAUACGCCCCACGAGUGAAAGCAGUGGAACUUCUCACCUGGCGCGGAUGAAUGAGCCGAUGUCGGAUUAGCUAGUGGGGGGGUUAAUGGCCAACCAAGGGGGGGAUUCGUAGCCGGUCUGAGAGGAUGGUCGGCCACCCUGGAACUGAGCCAGGGUCAAGACUACUGAGGGAGGCCGCAGUCGGGAAUAUUAGGCAAUGGGGGCGAGCCUGAUACAGCGAGACCGCGUGGGAGAAGAAGGCCUUCCGGUUGGAAAGACCUUUUGUUGGGAAAGAACAGCAGCAGGUUAAGACCACGCGGUACUGACGGUACCGAAAGAAGAAGCACCGGCUAACUACGUG
rnacentral:rRNA from 1 species